AUGAACGCUGGCGGCGUGCCUAAUACAUGCAAGUCGAGCGCACGGACGAGAAGCUUGCUUCUCUGAUGUUAGCGGCGGACGGGUGAGUAACACGUGGAUAACCUACCUAUAAGACUGGGAUAACUUCGGGAAACCGGAGCUAAUACCGGAUAAUAUUUUGAACCGCAUGGUUCAAAAGUGAAAGACGGUCUUGCUGUCACUUAUAGAUGGAUCCGCGCUGCAUUAGCUAGUUGGUAAGGUAACGGCUUACCAAGGCAACGAUGCAUGGCCGACCUGAGAGGGUGAUCGGCCACACUGGAACUGAGACACGGUCCAGACUCCUACGGGAGGCAGCAGUAGGGAAUCUUCCGCAAUGGGCGAAAGCCUGACGGAGCAACGCCGCGUGAGUGAUGAAGGUCUUCGGAUCGUAAAACUCUGUUAUUAGGGAAGAACAUAUGUGUAAGUAACUGUGCACAUCUUGACGGUACCUAAUCAGAAAGCCACGGCUAACUACGUG
rnacentral:rRNA from 1 species